UGGGGAAUAUUGGACAAUGGGGGCAACCCUGAUCCAGCAAUGCCGCGUGUGUGAAGAAGGUCUUCGGAUUGUAAAGCACUUUCGACGGGGACGAUGAUGACGGUACCCGUAGAAGAAGCCCCGGCUAACUUCGUGCCAGCAGCCGCGGUAAUACGAAGGGGGCUAGCGUUGCUCGGAAUGACUGGGCGUAAAGGGCGUGUAGGCGGUUUACACAGUCAGAUGUGAAAUCCCCGGGCUUAACCUGGGAGCUGCAUUUGAUACGUGUAGACUAGAGUGUGAGAGAGGGUUGUGGAAUUCCCAGUGUAGAGGUGAAAUUCGUA
rnacentral:rRNA from 1 species